rnacentral:rRNA from 1 species
UACGAGGGGGGCAAGCGUUGUUCGGAAUUACUGGGCGUAAAGGGCUCGUAGGCGGCCAACUAAGUCGGAUGUGAAAUCCCCAGGCUUAACCUGGGAACUGCAUCCGAUACUGGAUGGCUUGAAUCCGGGAGAGGGAUGCAGAAUUCCAGGUGUAGCGGUGAAAUGCGUAGAUAUCUGGAGGAAUACCGGUGGCGAAGGCGGCAUCCUGGACCGGCAUUGACGCUGAGGAGCGAAAGCCAGGGGAGCAAACGGG